UAACAUUCUGGCAGGGGAGAUACUGGUGAUCAUGUGAAGGUGGUCUACCCAGGGCUUAUGCCUACUACAUUGCACUUCGGUUGUGUUGACACGCACCCCAAAUGUGGGAAUCUACUGGCACUUGUGGUAGUGGGGAUCUGCGCCUCCGCGCCUCCCUG